rnacentral:lncRNA from 1 species
UUUGACAUAUAUAAAAGAGCAGAAAAGUCAAUCAUCAAAAAACUGUUUAGGAAAAUUCCUCUAUUUGUUCCUAAGGUAACAUUCCUCACACUUAUUCUUGUUAUUAUGUUUAUUCUAUGUGCUUAAUUGUAUAAGUUGAACAAAUAUUUUUUACCUUUCUCAUUAGAUAAAUGGUGAUGAAUAUUGUUUUUCAUUAAAUAAAUGGUGAUCAAUGUUGUUUGAGUAAACAUAUUAGGCAAAAUAGAAAAUGAAGACGUGUUUUAAUGUUUGUUAGUACCUAUUUCUAAGUUGGUGUCUAAAUAAGAAAAUUAUAGUUUGAGUAGACAAGAACUGGUUUCUUAUUGUAGAGUAGUUAAAACAAAAUAUUCAAUACUAAAGUUCUUUAUUAUCAAGUAUAUGUGAUUCCUAUCAUAUACCUCUUUAUGUUUUGCAGAUGUCGUUAGAAUACAUAUUAUCUCCAAAUCAAUGAUUUUAUGCUACCAUUACUUAAUUUGUGAAUCAUCAAUAUCUUCAAGAUUUUGUAGAAUUUAUAGAUGGAGACGAUCAAGCUUCUUUAUUAUGCAGUCACUUUCAAGGAUUUAUCUAUGGAAGUACGUCUAAUGAACAAAACGAAAAAUUUAGUAGCAAAUUAAUACACGAGUUUAUAAUGAGACUUAUCAACUGCGACAAAAAUAAUGAAGUUUGGGUAUGAUUAGAGAUCAUGUGGCCCGUUUUGACAUGCAAAAUUUUUGUCUAAUUACCAGAUUACCAUGCCAUGAAGUAGUUGUUGAUUUGAAUUUCAAUAAUACUCACCUAAGGGAUGAAUACUUCGAUCGUUCAAAAAGAAUUACUAUGAAAAGACUUUCUGAAGUAUUUCACAUGUGUGAAAAUCAAGAAGAUAAAUUCAAGUUAGGAUUAGUUAUGUUCGUCGAAUGCGUUUUAAACCGAAAUGGAAGAUACAUCGAUUUUAGAACCCUUGGAAUGGUUGAACAACUUGAUGAAUUUCUUAUGUAUCCGUGGGG